rnacentral:rRNA from 1 species
CUUUUGUGGGGUGCUCGAGUGGCGAACGGGUGAGUAACACGUGAAUAACCUGCCCUUGACUUUGGGAUAACUUCAGGAAACUGGGGCUAAUACCGGAUAGGAGCUCCUGCUGCAUGGUGGGGUUGGAAAGUUUCGGCGGUUGGGGAUGGACUCGCGGCUUAUCAGCUUGUUGGUGGGGUAGUGGCUUACCAAGGCUUUGACGGGUAGCCGGCCCGAGAGGGUGACCGGCCACAUUGGGACUGAGAUACGGCCCAG